rnacentral:rRNA from 1 species
CAGUCGCCGCGGUAAUACGUAGGUGGCAAGCGUUGUCCGGAAUUAUUGGGCGUAAAGCGCGCGCAGGUGGUUUAAUAAGUCUGAUGUGAAAGCCAACGGCUCAACCGUGGAGGGUCAUUGGAAACUGUUAAACUUGAGUGCAGGAGAGAAAAAUGGAAUUCCUAGUGUAGCGGUGAAAUGCGUAGAGAUUAGGAGGAACACCAGUGGCGAAGGCGGCUUUUUGGCCUGUAACUGACACUGAGGCGCGAAAGCGUGGGGAGCAAACAGGAUUAGAUACCCGUGUAGUCCCUGUCUCUUAUAC